rnacentral:rRNA from 1 species
GAUGAACGCUGGCGGCGUGCCUAAUACAUGCAAGUCGAGCGAACGGACGAGAAGCUUGCUUCUCUGAUGUUAGCGGCGGACGGGUGAGUAACACGUGGAUAACCUACCUAUAAGACUGGGAUAACUUCGGGAAACCGGAGCUAAUACCGGAUGAUAUUUUGAACCGCAUGGUUCAAAAGUGAAUGACGGUCUUGCUGUCACUUAUAGAUGGAUCCGCGCUGCAUUAGCUAGUUGGUAAGGUAACGGCUUACCAAGGCAACGAUGCAUAGCCGACCUGAGAGGGUGAUCAGCCACACUGGAACUGAGACACGGUCCAGACUCCUACGGGAGGCAGCAGUAGGGAAUCUUCCGCAAUGGGCGAAAGCCUGACGGAGCAACGCCGCGUGAGUGAUGAAGGUCUUCGGAUCGUAAAACUCUGUUAUUAGGGAAGAACAUAUGUGUAAGUAACUGUGCACAUCUUGACGGUACCUAAACAGAAAGCCACGGCUAACUACGUG